GCUGGGCAUGGUGGCGGGUGCCUGUAAUCCCAGCUACUCAGGAGGCUGAGGCAGGGGAAUUGCUUGAACCCAGGAGGUGGAGGCUGCCAUGAGCCAAGAUUGUCGUGCCAUUGCACUCCAGCCUGGGCAACAGAGUGAGACUCUGUCUCAA
ensembl:misc_RNA Metazoa_SRP Metazoan signal recognition particle RNA